rnacentral:lncRNA from 1 species
AAUCUUGUAUUAUACGUGAAGAGUUGUGGUUAGUCUAACAAGGAAGAAGCCAUCGGGUUCGGCAAUAGAGUGAAGGCACAGAUUCCACUCACGACCGCCACCACAGCUGCGACCACAAACGCCGGCAAAUUCCCACCGCCGAAGGCAGCGUCCAGCGGCCCAGUCCCUAACGAAACCAGCAUUUGCGGCAGACAUAUCGCCAAAUUUACAAUUCCCAACGACAACCCCUGCCCGGCGCCGGACCGUUGCGAGUAGAUAGACGCCAUCGCGAACGGAAUGCUGAACGUCACCGCCAGCGGCACCCCCAAUAUCGCGAACAACGCCAUCACGCCGCUCUUAAUCACAAACGAAGGCUCCUCCACGCCGCCAAGUCGUCGCUCCGAUUCCGCCGCUUUGGUGAUCACCACCGUCAUCGCGAGGCAGAUUCCGAGGAUUAAAUUCGCGCCUCCCCAUAGCAAUUUCACUCCCAAUUUUCCCGCCAAGGGAUCGAUCGCCAGCGAGAAGAACAGAAGGACGAUCGAAUUGAUCAUCAACCCUAACGAUCCGGCUCGGACUCCUUGGUCGUAGAGAUGGAUCUGAACCGGUGACCCGCUCGAAACUCCUCCGUACACUUCUCUGCCCAUCCAAUCGGUGUCGUAUAGCACCCAGGGAAACCAUGCAAACCAGUUUAGACACGUCACCAACAAAAGCAUCCACGUCGGCCUAUCAAGACCUUUCAACGCUCCUACGAAUCCUAACAACCCUCGAUCAUUCUUCUCCGCCACAUCACCUGCCACGUCACUUGUCACGUCACCGGACUCAAGCCUUCUUCUUUUAUCCAUUUCAGGACUGCUCCAAGGCUCCUCACCAACGCACACCAACGAAACAACGGUGGGGAUAAUGAGCAGCACCGCCGCGAUGGCGAAGCACGACUUGAGAUUUGCGCAGUACUUGUCGCAGGCGGCGGGAUUGGUGGAGGCAGUACUUGUCGCAGGCGGCGGUAUUGGUGAAGUGGAAGAUCAAGCUGGCGUGGAGGCCUUCCCGUGAUCCGGUGAGAUACCCUAAGAUGUUUCCGAUCCCCAUGAAGAAGGAAAACAGAGAGUUCGAGAAGCGGAUGAGCCGCGGGUUGUCGCCGGAGAGGUCUCCGAGCAAUGCCCGGCACGGUGCCUGAAGAACAUUGUUGGAAACAUCGAGGAUCCAGAACCCCAAGAUAAAAACAGCGAUAGCCCUGACCUUAGGUUUUCCCUGUUCGAGGGAGUCGCCGUAGUAAUGGCCAAUGUCGGCGGCGAAACCGAUCAAGGAAAUGGCUACGACGACGAAGACUGUGCCUCCCAGGAUGAACGGGCUACGGCGACCGAACCUACUGGUGGACCGGUCGCUGAAGUAACCAACCACGGGCUGAACCACCAUCCCCGAAAUGGGCCCACAUAGCCAAAUGAUUGCGGCCCACAUGUGGGGAAUUCCUAGGAGCUGGACGUAGGGAGUCAUGAGGGACAACUGGAGGGCCCACCCGAACUGGAUUCCGGCGGCAAUGGAAGCGACGGCGAGGAUUUUCGUCACCGGACUCGGAGCCGGAACUGCCGACGGCGGAAAAACCAUCACACUUCCUCCCAUUGUCGCCGCCGAUGGCAAUUUUCUUUCCUUAUCUCCCCGGUAUGAAUUGAAAAUAUUAUUUUUAUGGGGAUGGAAUUUUUUUGAACGGAUUUCACCUUCUUUUAUAAGGUAUUAAAGUUCAAAAUAGGUUUUCAGUUAGUUGUUUGUUACUUUGUUUUUCUGUUGUUGUUAUGGGUGAAUAAUAACCUGUAAAACAAAUGUGAUACAAUCAAGUUAAAAAUAGUUAUUGCUUUAAAAAUUAUGGUAAUGAAUUUGGAUAAUGCCAUGCAUGC